AUUCAUUUCAACUGUGUAAAAAGAAAUACAUGUGUACCUUCAUUCUGUGUUGCCAACAAGGGGGUACUGCCCCCCUCCCAAUAUUUCUCCCACAUCGGUCUUUAUUUAUAGAACUUGAAAAGGUGUGUGAUAUCAAACAGUGCAUUAUUAAGAACAUGUAUUCAACACUGAACAGCAACUCAUUUGAUGAGUUUCGGUAUCAUCGGCAUUUGUUGAGAAAUGGUUACGC